CUAGUCGAGAAAAGGAAGACAAGAGAGCCUGAGAGCAGUGGGAAUGGGAACAUGGAGGAAAGCCUAACUUGCUUUGUUUUCGCCUCUAGUGUUAGAGGUGAGAAUUCAGUUUGGUAUUCCCGAUGCCUCCUAUUCCUAUUGUUCUCAAGCACUCCUUCCUUUUCUUUUUGGCU
rfam:Triticum aestivum genome assembly, contig: Triticum_aestivum_CS42_TGACv1_scaffold_158263_2DL